rnacentral:rRNA from 1 species
AUUGAACGCUGGCGGCAGGCCUAACACAUGCAAGUCGAACGAGUGGCGGACGGGUGAGUAAUGUCUGGGCACCUGCCUGAUGGAGGGGUAUAACUACUGGAAACGGUAGCUAAUACCGCAUACCAUCAGAUCUGCCCAGAUGGGAUUAGCUUGUUGGUGGGGUAACGGCUCACCAAGGCGACGAUGCCUAGCUGGUCUGAGAGGCUGAGCGGCCACACUGGGACUGAGACACGGCCCAGACUCCUACGGGAGGCAGCAGUAGGGAAUAUUGGGCAAUGGGCGCAAGUCUGACGGAGCCACGCCGCGUGAGUGAAGAAGGCUUUCGGGUGGUAAAGCACUGUCAGUGGGGAGGCGGUACCUGAAGAGGAAGCACCGGCUAACUCCGUGCCAGCAGCCGCGGUAAUAC